GCCUGGUUGGCUCAGUUGGUAGAGCGUGUGACUCUUGGUCACACGGUCAUGAGUUCAAGCCCCAUGUUGGGUG
rnacentral:tRNA from 1 species